ACGCUCGACACCUACGGGAGCAGCAGUGGGGAAUAUUGGGGCAAUGGGCGCAAGCCUGACCCAGCAACGCCGCGUG
rnacentral:rRNA from 1 species